CGACCAGACUCCUACGGGAGGCAGCAGUGGGGAAUAUUGCACAAUGGGGGAAACCCUGAUGCAGCGACGCCGCGUGAGUGAAGAAGUAUUUCGGUAUGUAAAGCUCUAUCAGCAGGGAAGAAAAUGACGGUACCUGACUAAGAAGCCCCGGCUAACUACGUGCCAGCAGCCGCGGUAAUACGUAGGGGGCAAGCGUUAUCCGGAUUUACUGGGUGUAAAGGGAGCGUAGACGGCAGAGCAAGUCUGAAGUGAAAGCCCGCGGCCCAACUGCGGGACUGCAUUUGGAACUGUGUGGCUGGAGUGUCGGAGAGGCAGGCGGAAUUCCUAGUGUAGCGGUGAAAUGCGUAGAUAUUAGGAGGAACACCAGUGGCGAAGGCGGCCUGCUGGACGAUGACUGACGUUGAGGCUCGAAAGCGUGGGGAGCAAACAGGAUUAGAUACCCUAGUAUG
rnacentral:rRNA from 1 species